GUUUGUUAUGUAUUUUAGUAAUCUUUUUUUUUUCAGGGAGAAGAAACACAGAUAACAAGUGAAGCAGAAAGAGAAGAGAUUGUGUGACUGUAUAUGUCAACAACCAAAUGAUGUGUGUUGAUUUUCAAGUGGAAAUUUAUAGCCUGCAUAAGCUGAACUUGUUCUACUGUGCUGAUUAAUUGAAUCACAACACAGUUUGAAUAAUGACCUUAAUAGUCCAAUCCAGCAAAGAAUUCAGCACUCCAAUCAUAUGGGGACACACGUAUUGCACCUUCAUCAUGUCUGGGGAUUUUAAUAGUUUUGACUGAGUGAAUGAUUACUUCAAUUAAUAACAUUGCAUAUUAGAUUUACUAGACCUAAAAUUGAUUUCUUAUUAAAAAAUUUACUUGCAAUUUGGAAACUCUCUUUGACACAUUAAUUACAGACUCGAAAUCUGUAUCAAUAUUCCCCAUACAUAGACAGAACUGAGCAGAAAAAGUGGGAAGGCAGAUCGUAAUUAAAUUCGACAUGGUAGUUUCCAAGGAUGAAUAGCAUUUUUUUCAUUCGAAAAUGGGAUAAUUAUAUCUUUGAGUCACGUAAUGUACACUAAAGCUCUUCUCAACCUAGUGUGCGUCGGAUAUGUGAACGUCGUGGCUCCAGUCUCCCGUACAAUCUUUAAAAAACUUUUCGGUCAAAUUAACAAGUUGCACUCACUGUAUUUCCAUGGAUCACACUAUUUCAACUAAAAGAUAAGGUAAUAAGUAUCUGUAGGAUUUUACUGAAUGAUUUUUAAGUAGUUUUUAUUAAUUAAUUAUUUAAAUUCGAAUUAAAAAAAGACUAAAAAAUUCAUCUGAAUUUUUCUCACUCCCAAUCUUUAAAAAUAUAACAAAUAAUAAGUCAUAUAAAAAAUGUUUUAAACGCAAUUUUCACUUCAAACAUCUUUCAUUUGAAGUUUAAUUAUAUUCUCCAGUGGAACCUGGAUAAGUUGAAACAAAAUUUUAUUAAUAAAAAAAAGGAAACAGGACAAACACACCCCCAACGUUUAGGCAAAUGGACAAAAACCCCCCUAAUGUUUCAAAAAAGACAUUUACACCCCAAUUUAUUAUAAUUUUAUCAUUAUACCCUUCUAGCAUAUA
rnacentral:lncRNA from 1 species